GACGAACGCUGGCGGCGUGCUUAACACAUGCAAGUCGAACGGAAAGGCCCUGCUUUUGUGGGGUGCUCGAUUGGCGAACGGGUGAGUAACACGUGAGUAACCUGCCCUUGACUUUGGGAUAACUUCAGGAAACUGCGGCUAUUACCGGAUAGAAGCUCCUGCUGCAUGUUGGUGGUUGGUAAGUUUCGGCGGUUGGGUAUCGACUCGCGGCUUAUCAGCUUGUUGGUGGGGUAGUGGCUUACCAAGGUUUUGACGGGUAGCCGGCCUGAGAGGGUGACCGGCCACAUUGGGACUGAGAUACGGCCCAGACUGCUACGGGAGGCAGCAGUGGGGAAUAUUGCACAAUGGGCGGAAGCCUGAUGCAGCAACGCCGCGUGCGGGAUGACGGCCUUCGGGUUGUAAACCGCUUUCGCCUGUGACGAAGCGUGAGUGACGGUAAUGGGUAAAGAAGCACCGGCUAACUACGUG
rnacentral:rRNA from 1 species